rnacentral:rRNA from 1 species
AGUGAACGCUGGCGGUAGGCCUAACACAUGCAAGUCGAACGGCAGCACAGUAAGAGCUUGCUCUUACGGGUGGCGAGUGGCGGACGGGUGAGGAAUACAUCGGAAUCUACUUUUUCGUGGGGGAUAACGUAGGGAAACUUACGCUAAUACCGCAUACGACCUACGGGUGAAAGCAGGGGAUCUUCGGACCUUGCGCGAUUGAAUGAGCCGAUGUCGGAUUAGCUAGUUGGCGGGGUAAAGGCCCACCAAGGCGACGAUCCGUAGCUGGCCUGAGAGGAUGAUCAGCCACACUGGAACUGAGACACGGUCCAGACUCCUACGGGGGGCAGCAGUGGGGAAUAUUGGACAAUGGGCGCAAGCCUGAUCCAGCCAUACCGCGUGGGUGAAGAAGGCCUUCGGGUUGUAAAGCCCUUUUGUUGGGAAAGAAAAGCAGCAGGUUAAUACCCCGCUGUUCUGACGGUACCCAAAGAAUAAGCACCGGCUAACUUCGUG